AUGCGAAUCUGACGAAGCAGAACAUUGCCCAAAAGAAAGGAGUUCCCAUCGGUGUUCUAAAUUCCAAGGAAGCCACCAAUCCUUAGCUAAAUGAAUGCAACAAUUUCCAGAAUACAGCUUACUGAACAGGAUAUAAAGUAAUAAUAUGACAAAGUGUUGGUAACUGGUGAAAAAUACUGAACAAGAAGCAUUCUUUAGGGAAGACAUUGUUUAGCAUUUCUGCAACACUGUCCAGGGCAAAGCCUACCAACUGUUCUUGAUGGUUGGGAAGGAGGGUGUGCCUGGCCCAGGGGUAGAAGUGCUGCAGAAGGCUGAUCUCUGAGAAGCCGUGAGAAAAGCUCUUCCG